UCAAAUUUCCCUAUAUAGUUAUCUAUCGUGGACGUAACAAUAUCAUUGUUGAACGGAAGAGUGUACAACAGAGGUGUAGAGUUGUGACAAAUUAUAUGUCACGGUGUCAAAAGUAAACAUAGCGGAAGUGAAUGACAAGUUAUGGAGACAGAGGUUAACACCAAAUUUUGUGAAUUGGUAAUUUCCUCGGAUUAUUUUAUGGAAGAAGAAGAAGAAGAAGAAGAAGGAGAGAAAAGUGACUGAUACUCAAGAGCAGUCUGUGUACAUAUGUAUUUGGAGCAACGAUGAAGUUGAGUCAUAGUCUGACUUUCAACGAGGAUGCUCUUAAUGAAGUUCACACGAGUCUAAAUGAGCAAUUUUAAUCUGCAAGUGAUCAUGCUUCUAGACAAAGUUCUGGUCGAUGCUCAAAAGAACGAUAUUAAAGAACGCCAACAGAAGAUAACAAAAGAAGGAACAGCUGACCAGACAUAUGCAAAGUUCUAUGGUUCAUCCAUAGAACAUCUGAUGACAUCCAUGACGAUUAACACAUUUUAACGAUAAUAAUAAUUUGAUCAAGUUGCAUUCCACCUCACUGUCUGCCUUGUUGCGUUUAAUAAUUCUUAGCCUUUCCACCUUAUGCACUAACGUCUGAAAUUAAGGACCAACAUAAUAAAAUAAUUUGCUUUUAACAGUAA